rnacentral:rRNA from 1 species
UUAAGCGACUAAGCGUACACGGUGGAUGCCCUGGCAGUCAGAGGCGAUGAAGGACGUGCUAAUCUGCGAAAAGCGUCGGUAAGGUGAUAUGAACCGUUAUAACCGGCGAUGUCCGAAUGGGGAAACCCAGUGUGAUUCGUCACACUAUCGUUAACUGAAUACAUAGGUUAACGAGGCGAACCGGGGGAACUGAAACAUCUAAGUACCCCGAGGAAAAGAAAUCAACCGAGAUUCCCCCAGUAGCGGCGAGCGAACGGGGAGCAGCCCAGAGUCUGAAUCAGCUUGUGUGUUAGUGGAACGGUCUGGAAAGUCCGACGGUACAGGGUGAUAGUCCCGUACACCAAAAUGCACAGGUUGUGAACUCGAAGAGUAGGGCGGGACACGUGGUAUCCUGUCUGAAUAUGGGGGGACCAUCCUCCAAGGCUAAAUACUCCUGACUGACCGAUAGUGAACCAGUACCGUGAGGGAAAGGCGAAAAGAACCCCGGCGAGGGGAGUGAAAAAGAACCUGAAACCGUGUACGUACAAGCAGUGGGAGCACCUUCGGGUGUGACUGCGUACCUUUUGUAUAAUGGGUCAGCGACUUAUAUUCUGUAGCAAGGUUAACCGUAUAGGGGAGCCGCAGGGAAACCGAGUCUUAACUGGGCGUUAAGUUGCAGGGUAUAGACCCGAAACCCGGUGAUCUAGCCAUGGGCAGGUUGAAGGUUGGGUAACACUAACUGGAGGACCGAACCGACUAAUGUUGAAAAAUUAGCGGAUGACUUGUGGCUGGGGGUGAAAGGCCAAUCAAACCGGGAGAUAGCUGGUUCUCCCCGAAAGCUAUUUAGGUAGCGCCUCGUGAACUCAUCUUCGGGGGUAGAGCACUGUUUCGGCUAGGGGGUCAUCCCGACUUACCAACCCGAUGCAAACUACGAAUACCGAAGAAUGUUAUCACGGGAGACACACGGCGGGUGCUAACGUCCGUCGUGAAGAGGGAAACAACCCAGACCGCCAGCUAAGGUCCCAAAGUCAUGGUUAAGUGGGAAACGAUGUGGGAAGGCACAGACAGCCAGGAUGUUGGCUUAGAAGCAGCCAUCAUUUAAAGAAAGCGUAAUAGCUCACUGGUCGAGUCGGCCUGCGCGGAAGAUGUAACGGGGCUAAACCAUGCACCGAAGCUGCGGCAGCGACACUAUGUGUUGUUGGGUAGGGGAGCGUUCUGUAAGCCUGCGAAGGUGACCUGUGAGGGUUGCUGGAGGUAUCAGAAGUGCGAAUGCUGACAUAAGUAACGAUAAAGCGGGUGAAAAGCCCGCUCGCCGGAAGACCAAGGGUUCCUGUCCAACGUUAAUCGGGGCAGGGUGAGUCGACCCCUAAGGCGAGGCCGAAAGGCGUAGUCGAUGGGAAACAGGUUAAUAUUCCUGUACUUGGUGUUACUGCGAAGGGGGGACGGAGAAGGCUAUGUUAGCCGGGCGACGGUUGUCCCGGUUUAAGCAUGUAGGCUGGUUAUCCAGGCAAAUCCGGAUAAUCAAGGCUGAGGUGUGAUGACGAGGCACUACGGUGCUGAAGUAACAAAUGCCCUGCUUCCAGGAAAAGCCUCUAAGCAUCAGGUAACAUCAAAUCGUACCCCAAACCGACACAGGUGGUCAGGUAGAGAAUACCAAGGCGCUUGAGAGAACUCGGGUGAAGGAACUAGGCAAAAUGGUGCCGUAACUUCGGGAGAAGGCACGCUGGUGUGUAGGUGAAGCCCCUGCGGGUGGAGCUGAGACCAGUCGAAGAUACCAGCUGGCUGCAACUGUUUAUUAAAAACACAGCACUGUGCAAACACGAAAGUGGACGUAUACGGUGUGACGCCUGCCCGGUGCCGGAAGGUUAAUUGAUGGGGUUAUCCGUAAGGAGAAGCUCUUGAUCGAAGCCCCGGUAAACGGCGGCCGUAACUAUAACGGUCCUAAGGUAGCGAAAUUCCUUGUCGGGUAAGUUCCGACCUGCACGAAUGGCGUAAUGAUGGCCAGGCUGUCUCCACCCGAGACUCAGUGAAAUUGAACUCGCUGUGAAGAUGCAGUGUACCCGCGGCAAGACGGAAAGACCCCGUGAACCUUUACUAUAGCUUGACACUGAACAUUGAGCCUUGAUGUGUAGGAUAGGUGGGAGGCUUUGAAGCGUGGACGCCAGUCUGCGUGGAGCCAACCUUGAAAUACCACCCUUUAAUGUUUGAUGUUCUAACGUUGGCCCCUGACCGGGGUUGCGGACAGUGUCUGGUGGGUAGUUUGACUGGGGCGGUCUCCUCCCAAAGCGUAACGGAGGAGCACGAAGGUUAGCUAAUCCUGGUCGGACAUCAGGAGGUUAGUGCAAUGGCAUAAGCUAGCUUGACUGCGAGCGUGACGGCGCGAGCAGGUGCGAAAGCAGGUCAUAGUGAUCCGGUGGUUCUGAAUGGAAGGGCCAUCGCUCAACGGAUAAAAGGUACUCCGGGGAUAACAGGCUGAUACCGCCCAAGAGUUCAUAUCGACGGCGGUGUUUGGCACCUCGAUGUCGGCUCAUCACAUCCUGGGGCUGAAGUAGGUCCCAAGGGUAUGGCUGUUCGCCAUUUAAAGUGGUACGCGAGCUGGGUUUAGAACGUCGUGAGACAGUUCGGUCCCUAUCUGCCGUGGGCGCUGGAGAAUUGAGGGGGGCUGCUCCUAGUACGAGAGGACCGGAGUGGACGCAUCACUGGUGUUCGGGUUGUCAUGCCAAUGGCACUGCCCGGUAGCUAAAUGCGGAAGAGAUAAGUGCUGAAAGCAUCUAAGCACGAAACUUGCCCCGAGAUGAGUUCUCCCUGAGACUUUAAGUCUCCUGAAGGAACGUUGAAGACGACGACGUUGAUAGGCCGGGUGUGUAAGCGCAGCGAUGCGUUGAGCUAACCGGUACUAAUGAACCGUGAGGCUUAACCUU